UUUUUUCCGAGGAACAUUAAA
ensembl:piRNA 21ur-13760 ncRNA